UACGUAGGGGGCGAGCGUUGUCCGGAAUCAUUGGGCGUAAAGCGCUUGUAGGCGGUUCAGUAAGUCUGCUGUGAAAGUCCAGGGCUCAACCCUGGGAUGCCGGUGGAUACUGCUGAACUAGAGUGCGGAAGAGGCGAGUGGAAUUCCCGGUGUAGCGGUGAAAUGCGCAGAUAUCGGGAGGAACACCAAUUGCGAAGGCAGCUCGCUGGGACGUUACUGACGCUGAGACGCGAAAGCGUGGGGAGCAAACAGG
rnacentral:rRNA from 1 species